AGCAGCCGCGGUAAUUCCAGCUCCAAUAGCGUAUAUUAAAGUUGUUGCAGUUAAAAAGCUCGUAGUUGAAUUUCGGGAUUGACCCAUCGGUCGUGCCUUAAGGGGUAUGAACUGGUGUAGUCAAUUUCUCACCUUCUGGAGAACCGUGAUGUCCUUAAUUGGGUGCCACGAGGAACCAGGACCUUUACUUUGAAAAAAUUAGAGUGUUUAAAGCAGGCAUUUUUGCUUGAAUACAUUAGCAUGGAAUAAUAAAAUAGGACGGCAUGAUUCUAUUUUGUUGGUUUCUAGGAUCACCGUAAUGAUUAAUAGGGAUAGUUGGGGGCAUUAGUAUUCAAUUGUCAGAGGUGAAAUUCUUGGAUUUAUUGAAGACUAACUACUGCGAAAGCAUUUGCCAAGGAUGUUUUCAUUAAUCAAGAACGAAAGUUAGGGGAUCGAAGACGAUCAGAUACCGUCGUAGUCUUAACCAUAAACUAUGCCGACUAGGAAUCAGACGAUGUUAAUUUUUUAAUGACUCGUUUGG
rnacentral:rRNA from 2 species